AUACGUAGGGGGCGAGCGUUGUCCGGAAUGAUUGGGCGUAAAGGGCGCGUAGGCGGCCCGGUAAGUCUGGAGUGAAAGUCCUGUUUUUAAGAUGGGAAUUGCUUUGGAUACUGUCGGGCUUGAGUGCAGGAGAGGUAAGUGGAAUUCCCAGUGUAGCGGGGAAAUGCGUAGAGAUUGGGAGGAACACCAGUGGCGAAGGCGACUUACUGGACUGUAACUGACGCUGAGGCGCGAAAGUGUGGGGAGCAAACAGGAUUAGAUACCCUGGUAGUCCACACUGUAAACGAUGAAUGCUAGGUGUAGGGGGUAUCGACCCCUUCUGUGCCGCAGUCAACACAAUAAGUAUUCCGCCUGGGGAGUACGGCCGCAAGGUUGAAACUCAAAGGAAUUGACGGGG
rnacentral:rRNA from 1 species